rnacentral:rRNA from 1 species
UACGAAGGGGGCUAGCGUUGCUCGGAAUCACUGGGCGUAAAGCGCACGUAGGCGGGUCUUUAAGUCAGGGGUGAAAUCCUGGAGCUCAACUCCAGAACUGCCUUUGAUACUGAGGAUCUCGAGUCCGGGAGAGGUGAGUGGAACUCCGAGUGUAGAGGUGAAAUUCGUAGAUAUUCGGAAGAACACCGGUGGCGAAGGCGGCGACCUGGUCCGAUACUGACGCUGAGGCGCGAAAGCGUGGGGAGCAAACAGG